CCUACGGGUGGCAGCAGUGGGGAAUCUUGGGCAAUGGGCGCAAGCCUGACCCAGCAACGCCGCGUGAAGGAAGAAGGCUUUCGGGUUGUAAACUUCUUUUGACAGGGAAGAGUAGAAGACGGUACCUGUCGAAUAAGCCACGGCUAACUACGUGCCAGCAGCCGCGGUAAUAAGUAGGUGGCAAGCGUUGUCCGGAUUUACUGGGUGUAAAGGGCGUGUAGCCGGGUUGGCAAGUAAGGUGUGAAAGCCGGCGGCUUAACCGGAGAACUGCACUUGAAACUGUGGAUCUUGAGUACUGGAGAGGCAGACGGAAUUCCUGGUGUAGCGGUGAAAUGCGUAGAUAUUAGGAGGAACACCAGUGGCGAAGGCGGGCUGCUGGACAGCAACUGACGGUGAGGCGCGAAGGCGUGGGGAGCAAACAGGAUUAGAUACCCCUGUAGUC
rnacentral:rRNA from 1 species